UACGUAGGGGGCAAGCGUUGUCCGGAAUCAUUGGGCGUAAAGAGCGUGUAGGCGGUUCAGUAAGUCUGCUGUGAAAGUCCAGGGCUCAACCCUGGGAUGCCGGUGGAUACUGCUGGGCUAGAGUACGGAAGAGGCGAGUGGAAUUCCCGGUGUAGCGGUGAAAUGCGCAGAUAUCGGGAGGAACACCAAUUGCGAAGGCAGCUCGCUGGGACGUCACUGACGCUGAGGAGCGAAAGCGUGGGGAGCGAACAGG
rnacentral:rRNA from 1 species